UACGUAGGGGGCAAGCGUUAUCCGGAAUUACUGGGUGUAAAGGGAGCGUAGACGGUAAUGUAAGUCUGGAGUGAAAGGCGGGGGCCCAACCCCCGGACUGCUCUGGAAACUAUAUUACUAGAGUGCAGGAGAGGUAAGCGGAAUUCCUAGUGUAGCGGUGAAAUGCGUAGAUAUUAGGAGGAACACCAGUGGCGAAGGCGGCUUACUGGACUGUAACUGACGUUGAGGCUCGAAAGCGUGGGGAGCAAACAGG
rnacentral:rRNA from 1 species